GAGCAGAAAUACAAUCCCAAUAACUUCUUAAGUUCCUUUCCAAGUCUGCUUUCGACUAUUGCUUUUUGAACCGAAUGGGGCUUAAGCAAGCACCUUCCUCUGGAGAUUCCAGAGGAUUCCAUGGAACAGGAUUCCAUGGAACUAGCUGCGUCUGGUGGCAUCACGUGCAGCACGUCCUAUAAAGGAUGCCACAUUCCACUGUAUUGCUGGAAACACUCCACACCACUCACAACAGUGAAUCCUGUGUCAUCUAGGCUUGCUAAGAAACCAGGCAGAGAGAAAGACAGAAAGAAGCUGUCUGAACAUUUAUGCAGAGUCCCACAACCUGUAUUGUGCUACAGUGAGACCCACUGUGAAGUAAAUUGGUGGCAAGCCUGGUUUUGAAGGAAAGCCCUAUUUUGUCAACACAA